CAAAUACUCUCUCCGUCCCAAAAUUCUUGUCUUAAAUUUGUCUGAAUACGGAUGUAUCAAGUCACGUUUUAGUAUUAGAUAUAUCUGUAUGUAGGCAAAUCUAAGACAAGAAUUUUGGAACGGCGGGAGUAUUUA
rfam:Triticum aestivum genome assembly, contig: Triticum_aestivum_CS42_TGACv1_scaffold_640862_T_4BL-0.149297_4BS-0.077436